ensembl:misc_RNA Metazoa_SRP Metazoan signal recognition particle RNA
ACCGGGUGCGGUGGCAUGUGCCUGUAAUCCAAGUCACUGGGAGGCUGAGGUUGGUGGAUCAAGUGAGCUGAGGAGCUCUGGGCUGCAGCACGCUAUGUCGAACGGGUGUCCACGCUAAGUUCGGUAUCGAUAUGGUGUUCCUGGGGGAGCCCGGGACCACCAGGUUGUCUAAGGAGGGGUGAACCGGCCCAGGUCGGAAACGAAGCAGGUCAAAUCCCCCGUGCUGUCCAGUAGUGGGAUACUACCUGUGAGUAGAUGCUGCAGUGCAGCCUUGGCAAAACAUCGAUACCCAGUCUUUU